rnacentral:rRNA from 1 species
CACGUGAGGCGCGAGCGUGUCCGGAAUUAUUGGGCGUAAAGAGCUCGUAGGCGGCCUGUUGCGUCCGCUGUGAAAAGCCCGGGGGCUUUAACCCCCGGGUCGGCAGUGGAUACGGGCAGGCUAGAGGUAGGUAGGGGGAGAAUGGAAUUCCCGGUGUAGCGGUGAAAUGCGCAGAUAUCGGGAGGAACACCGGUGGCGAAGGCGGUUCUCUGGGCCUUACCUGACGCUGAGGAGCGAAAGCGUGGGGAGCGAACGG